rnacentral:tRNA from 1 species
ACCUGGCUGGCUCAGUCGGUGGAGCGUGUGACUCUUGAUCUUGUCAUGAGUUCAAGCCCCAUGUUGGGCA